UACGGAGGGUGCGAGCGUUGUUCGGAAUCACUGGGCGUAAAGGGCGCGUAGGCGGUCUUGCAAGUCGGGGGUGAAAGCCCGAGGCUCAACCUCGGAACUGCCUUCGAUACUGCGGGUCUCGAGUCCGGGAGAGGUGAGUGGAAUUCCUAGUGUAGAGGUGAAAUUCGUAGAUAUUAGGAAGAACACCAGUGGCGAAGGCGGCUCACUGGCCCGGUACUGACGCUGAGGCGCGAAAGCGUGGGGAGCAAACAGG
rnacentral:rRNA from 1 species